UACAGAGACUGCAAGCGUUAUUCGGAUUCACUGGGCGUAAAGGGUGCGCAGGUGGCCAAGUGUGUGAGGCGUGAAAGCCCGUUGCUCAACAGCGGAAUUGCGCCUCAAACUACAUGGCUAGAGCAUUGGAGAGGGGAGCAGAAUUCACGGUGUAGCAGUGAAAUGCGUAGAUAUCGUGAGGAAUACCAGAGGCGAAGGCGGCUCCCUGGACAAUUGCUGACACUCAGGCACGAAAGCGUGGGGAG
rnacentral:rRNA from 1 species